rnacentral:rRNA from 1 species
UACAGAGGGGGCAAGCGUUAUUCGGAAUUAUUGGGCGUAAAGGGCGCGUAGGCGGCUUGGCAAGUGGAAGGUGAAAUCCCUCGGCUUAACCGAGGAACUGCCCUCCAAACUGCUUGGCUUGAGACCGGGAGAGGUGAGUGGAAUUCCCAGUGUAGCGGUGAAAUGCGUAGAUAUUGGGAGGAACACCAGUGGCGAAGGCGGCUCACUGGACCGGUACUGACGCUGAGGCGCGAAAGCGUGGGGAGCAAACAGG